rnacentral:piRNA from 1 species
UCACAGAUGAAAUGAGGACUGCCUUUACC